UCUCAUCAUGGGCACUUAGCUUGCUUGAGAUUACACAGAACCAUGCCUCUGGUUUCCUGGUACAGUGCUCCUGUAGGUGACGGAUGCUCCCGGGUGACAUAUCAUGAAUCUCUCUGAGGUAAGACGUGCCUUUUGCCUUCCACCUUCUGCCAUGACUGUGAGGCCCUGCCAGCCACAUGGAACUGUGAGUCCAUUAAACUUCUUUUUCUUUAUAAAUUAUCUAGCGUCGGAGCCCUAGAUUUGAAAAAAGAUGCUUCUGUGGUUCCAGGCAAGAUGGCUGACUAGGAACAGCUCCAGUCGGCAGCUCCCAGCGAGACCAACACAGAAGGCGGGCCGUCAUCCUUAAGCCAUAAAAUGCCCUGUAUAGGUGGAACAGGUCAGAAGACUGAAUGCUCAAGCUGCAUGUGGAGUUAACAUGGCAAUAACACAGAAUGUGAUGACAGCAGACUCUAGAAUCUCAUGACAUCAGUUUAUAUUAGAACUGUUCUGUAGCUCACCUUUCUCCGAAGUUGGAAUUCACAUGGCUGUGGAAUGUGUUUCUACCUUCACUGUUCGAGGAGUCAUCCAACAAAUCCAGGGGUGGGAAAACAGCUGGAUGAGGACAAUAACAUAUAUGACACCUGUAUAAUCC
rnacentral:antisense_RNA from 1 species